rnacentral:rRNA from 1 species
UACGUAUGGUGCAAGCGUAAUCCGGAUUUACUGGGUGUAAAGGGAGCGCAGGCGGUUCUGCAAGUCUGAUGUGAAAGCCCGGGGCUCAACCGCGGGACUGCAUUGGAAACUGCGGGACUGGAGUGUCGGAGGGGUAAGCGGAAUUCCUGGUGUAGCGGUGAAAUGCGUAGAUAUCAGGAGGAACACCGGUGGCGAAGGCGGCUUACUGGACGAUGACUGACGCUGAGGCUCGAAAGCGUGGGGAGCAAACAGG